rnacentral:rRNA from 1 species
CGUAGGGUGCGAGCGUUAAUCGGAAUUACUGGGCGUAAAGCGUGCGCAGGCGGUUUGUAAGACAGAUGUGAAAAUCCCCGGGCGUCAACCUCGGGACCUGCAUUUGUGACUGCAAGGCUAGAGUACGGUAGAGGGGGAUGGGAUUCCGCGUGUAGCAGUGAAAUGCGUAGAUAUGCGGAGGAACACCGAUGGCGAAGGCAAUCCCCUGGACCUGUACUGACGCUCAUGCACGAAAGCGUGGGGAGCAAAACAGGAUUAGAUACCCUGGUAGUCCACGCCCUAAACGAUGUCAACUGGUUGUUGGGUCGUUUACUGACUCAGUAACGAAGCUAACGCGUGAAGUUGACCCGCCUGGGGGAGUACGGCCGCAAGGUUG